UCUGUUGAUAAUAUAUUGAAAUGUUAAGGUUUAGAUUGGUUGGUUCGCUCACAUAGGAGGGUAAGUGUGGGUGCCAGUCGCGACCCGAUUUGGGUCGUGACAACUAAUUCUUCAUUUAUUCCAGGCCCACUUUUAUUUUCAGACGCCCCAGGCCCAAUUACAUGCCCAUUCCAGCCUACAUUAUUAUUCUCAGCCCAUUUCAAUUAAUUCCCAUUCUUCUUACUUUCAGUGAUCCAGCCCAAUUCUCUUCAAGUUUUUCUUAGAGUCAAUUUCCUCUCUUUGUUAUCUCAUUCCAGCAGCCCAACUCCUCCCAGGCCCAAUUCUUUUCCAAACAAUUUCAGCAGCCCACUUCUCAUUCCAUUUUUCCCCUUAGUACCCAACCCGAUUCCACCUUGUUCUUCUUCACGUUUAAACCCAAAAAAUUGGGGAAGAAAGCCAACGUCUUCUUCCCCAUAAAUCAAGCAACAAAUCAUGGUUGACCAAACUCGAAAAUCGUGCCAACAGUACCAUCCCAUCACCAUCGUUGUAAUUUCAAGCGAGAAGUGGCAUCCAACAGUACCCUUUCUUUCUUGGUUGCUGUUUGGUAUCGACGCUUGCGUGGUGAGGAUUGUCAUUCCCCUGCUCAUCUGCCUCUAGUUCGUUGCAUGGAGAAAGGUAAUGCUUCCUUUUUUUUAUGUCUGACUUCAGUGUUGAAUGCGAAUGUGAUGUUCGUUGUUGUUUCCUUUGGUUGCGUUACUGUUUUGAUUACUUGUUUCGACUUAUAUACUCUUCUUCGAAAGGUUGCUUGGUGUGAUUGAUUUGCUGUUGAUUAUGACGGAUAUGCUUUAGCCUUGUUUAAGUUUCAUUUGAAGUUGUUUGUAGGCAGAUUUUUAUGUUUUUUUAAUCAUAUUGUGUUUCUAGUUUAGUGUAAAAAUAUGUGAAUGUCAUGAUUUACUCCUAUGAGUUAAUAUGGUUCAAUGAUUGUGUCUUGUAUCUAUUGUUGCGUUGGUUUGGACCAUGGAAUAGUCGUGAUCAAGUCUGUUAUUCUCUGUUUAUUUUUGCUUUCUCUUCUCUCCCCGAAAACCUCUUGCGAAUCUGUAAUACGCUUUCUUUGCUAUCAAGCAAAUCGCAUAGCCAUUGUUUUGACCUUAGUUUCAUGGUGUUGUUUCAGUAGCCGCUGUUUAGGCUGUAUGUUCAAGUAUAAUGUACUUAAGCUACUGGUUGAAAUUUUAGCUAGCCAUUUACGUUAGCUUUUUGUUUUUUUUUUAUCAAUUCUUAUGGCCUUAGAGAAGAAGCUAAAAUGUUUUGGUUAUUCGUUUGGGUGUUGUUGCAUAUGUCUCUUGCUGCUACUUGAGUAUAGGGAGAGUUUGAGGAUUUGACUGUGUUAUAUUCUUUGGGUACUGGAUUGAUUAAUACUUAAUAGUAAUGUUUAGUUGAUGACACAAUUGCUUACCGUUUCCUUUUUAAAAAAAUAAAAAUAAAAAAUCCUCACAUGAAGUUCUUAUUUUGCUAUCUUGAAGAAUUGUCCAUUAAGUCUAUUUUAUCAUUCUGCUGGAAAGUAUUGCAUGUUUGGGGUCAUCUUUGCCAUGACAGUCAUGGUGUCCAAGCAUAUAUACAUGCCUUAUUCAAGGAUCUCUUUGUUGUGGUUUUGCAAGUGUUUGAAUAACUCUUCACUUGUUCAUAUAUGCUUUCUCUUGUUAAUUCAUUCAACUCUAUUCACAUGUCUUUUUUUUUCUUCUCUAUCUAAUGUUUUGCAUUGGUUUUUUUUGUGUGUGAAACUCCUCUCGAGUCCGUCUUGGCACUCCAUUUUCCUCCUCGCAUCCUUCAUUUGAGCCAUGAAAGAAUUAUACAUUUUUGUGUGAAACUCCUUUCGAGUCAUAGACCCCUCAUAACCAGCGUACAGGUCGGAAGAACCAGCAAAUGUGUUGCUGAAAAAUCAAAUCUGCAGAUUUGAGCAGCAGUAUACAUAUUGUAUACAUUUGUUAUACAUUGAUAUACAAGUUCAUGGCAGCAAAUAGGGAGAAACAAAUGUGAAAUAUAGAUAUGAGGUAAAAUUCAGGUGUUCGGAAGCAGGAGAUACACGCAGAGAGCUGAUAUAUACGUCAAUAUACACCGAUAUACAGUCUAUAUAUACAAAAACGAGAUUGGGUUAAAACCCAAAACUUGCAGCGAAAUUGGCCCAAGAAAAGGCCCAAUUUCAUUGUCUCUUUCACUCUCCUAAUUGUUUUGAUUAUGUUGACUAAUUUCAUUUAACUCUAACUUUAGAAUUGAUAAUGAACUUACUUAAAUCCCCAAAA